rnacentral:tRNA from 1 species
GGCAAAUUAGCAGUGGUAGCAUCACCGCCUCACAAUCGGUUAACCCAGGUUCGAAUCUUGCGAGUCUGUCA